CACACACACACACACACACAAAAGGCAGGCCAGGCCAGGUUCUACACACAAUGGCUUUUAUUAAGUGCAGACAUCCAUAUCAUAUAUUAGAAAAAACGUGUAAAAGAAAUGGGAGACUAACAAGUUUCCAUUCACAAAGGCUUGCACUUCAUAGGAACCAUAUUUGUACAUAUCAUAAUAAUAAUCAUAAUAAUAAUAAUCAUUAUAAUAAUAAUAAUAAAAAUACGUCUUCCCUGGAAAAAAAUUGUCGGAAGGAGUUGUCAACCAACAUAAAACAUGAACGGACCAUGACCAAAAUGUAGGAAAAUAGCAUUCUUUACCUUGGUAUCCAUAGUAAUAAGAACUAUUUGAAAAAGAAGUCAAAACAAUGCAUAGCAUAUUAUUAAUAGGCAUUUUCACGUCAAACUCUGUGUUUUCAACUCUAGCCCCAGAUCUGCGGCGGACGGAGAGACUCCUGAUUGGUGAACAGACGCUCGGUCGAGCCACGCCCUUCUGGGCUCCUUCCAUGGACGGUGCGGUGACUUUCAGUGUGUGUGUGUGUGUGUGUGUGUGUGUGUGUGUGCGCGUGCGUGCGUGCGUGUGUGCGUGUGCGUGCAAGAGAGGAACUAGCUGCUCCUCACCCAUGUGCAAACCCAAUAACGUCAGUCAGCUUUUUACCAUUUCCUGGUUUUCCCGCUGUGUGCUAAAAACAGUGACGCUGCUAAAGACUCCGCUAGUGAACUCUGCUAGUGAACUCCUCAGGCUAAAGACUCCGCUAGUGAACUCCUCUAGUGAACUCUGCUAGUGAACUCCGCUAGUGAACUCCGCUAGUGAACUCCUCAGGCUAAAGACUCCGCUAGUGAACUCCUCAGGCUAAAGACUCCGCUAGUGAACUCUGCUAGUGAACUCUGCUAGUGAACUCCGCUAGUGAACUCCGCUAGUGAACUCCUCAGGCUAAAGACUCCGCUAGUGAACUUCUCUAGUGAACUCCGCUAGUGAACUCCUCAGGCUAAAGACUCCGCUAGUGAACUCCUCAGGCUAAAGACUCCGCUAGUGAACUCUGCUAGUGAACUCCGCUAGUGAACUCCGCUAGUGAACUCCUCAGGCUAAAGACUCCGCUAGUGAACUCCGCUAGUGAACUCCUCAGGCUAAAGACUCCGCUAGUGAACUCCGCUAGUGAACUCCUCAGGCUAAAGACUCCGCUAGUGAACUCCUCAGGCUCCUGACGAUGGAGGUGAAAUAAGAACAUUUCCUUUUGUCUCUGGGGGCCGAGUCUGCCCAGACUCCUGUUGUAGACCUAGGUGCAGAGAUAUAAAUAAAAAACAGUGUGUGGGAAUGUGUGUGUGUGUGUGUGUGUAUUUGGGUUUGAUUUGAACAGGAGCUGGUUGUUUGAAGAAGGAGCUCAUGGUAAGUGAGAGGGUGCUACAUAAAAUCAAUACUGAUCCCGCCUGUGCAUUCAUGUUAAAACCUCUACUAAGGGUGUGUGUGUGUGUGUGUGUGUGUGUGUGUGUGUGUGUGGUUAAAACACACUACCAGUGCUGGUGAUCCUCAGGUUUCAACUGCUCCUGACGGAUGGAACGCGUGUGAAGUGCAUGUGGAGUGUGUGUGGGACUUGUCAAACACCUAGGACAGCAACUGUGACAAUAUGUGUAUGUGUGUGUGUGUGUGUGUGUGUGUGUGUGCCUCUCCUCCAGCCUCUCUCCUCUGAUUGGUCGUGCUGAAUUGGUCGCCACUGUUGGCAGGUCCUAGAUGAGUGUGUGUGUAUGUGUGUGUGUGUGUGUGUGUGUGUGUGUGUGGAGGCAGUGAGCGUGCGCACACACACACACAAAUAUAUCGUAGAAACAGUCUGUAAUUCAGCUGCUGGUACAAACAAGACAUUCUUCUCUCUCUCGCUCUCCUUCCAUGUUUCUCUCUCUCUCUCUCUCUCUCAUUCUUUCUUUGGCACUGGAACAGUGUGUGAGGAAAGAGGCAGAGUGUAUGUGUGUGUGUGUGUGGAAGGGAGAGAAUGUGUGUAUGUAUGUGGAGGAGGAGUGUAUGUGUGUGUGUGUGUGUGUGUGUAUACGUAUAGAGGAGGAGAGAGAGAGAGAGAGAGUGAGGGAGUGUGUGUGUGUGUGUACAGAGGAGGAGAGAGAGUGUCUUUCUUUUUUAUUUCUUCUGUCGUUCUUCCUCUCCCUCGAUCUCCCCGUCUAUUUGGAAAGUUUGCUGAUGACCCGGAUGAGAGCGCCGUUCUCAUCCUUCAGCCGCUGGUUAUCUGCUCUUAAAUCCCCCAGCACCUGUACACACACACACACACACACGCACGCACGCACGCACGCACGCACGCACGCACACACGCACACACGCACACACGCACACACACACACACACACACAGAGAUACAGAGUCCAACACAUACAUGUAUACACAUGGACACACAC
ensembl:lncRNA